UACGGAGGGUGCGAGCGUUGUUCGGAAUCACUGGGCGUAAAGCGCGUGUAGGCGGCUUGGCAAGUUGAAUGUGAAAGCCCACGGCUCAACCGUGGAAGCGCAUCCAAAACUGCUUCGCUUGAGUCUCGGAGAGGAAGGUGGAAUGCUUGGUGUAGAGGUGAAAUUCGUAGAUAUCAAGCAGAACACCUGCGGCGAAGGCGGCCUUCUGGACGAUGACUGACGCUGAGACGCGAAAGCGUGGGGAGCAAACAGG
rnacentral:rRNA from 1 species